rnacentral:lncRNA from 1 species
CAGAGACAGACACAGCACACUGCUUUGUAAUAUGCAACUGGAGAUGCUUACCUAAACGUUCACAGGGAAACACUUGCAUCUUUUAGUUGGAUGUUUGAUCAAAACAAAGACAAAUACUCCGUUUACAGCAUUUCAGAUGCUCUUCUGGGAAAACAUCUAUGUGGAUGCAGAAACGCUUUGCCCAGCCUUGAAGUCCAGGUUGCUCUUAGGUGGUUUUCAUCCCUGAAGACCUUGCAUUGUACAGAACUCCGUAUUGCAGUGCCCCAUCAGAAAACGUCUUCAGAAGAAGCCUUUGGACUUCACCUUCAGAAAGGCAGAUUUCCACUUUAGAGUUCAUGUCCUCCUCCUUCCCGUGAAAAUAAUAUGAACCAGAAGGUGUUAAUUUUCCUUCUCCCAAAUUUUAUUUUUGGGAUAUUUCUUUUUGGCUUUUUUUGUAAGAGGCAAAAAAACCUAACAGGUGAGUAAAGAAUUUACCAACAAGAAGACUGAAUGUAUUCUAGAACCAGGGGUACCUUUCCCAAACAUUUUAGAAAGUAACUAUGGAGCCUAAGUGGUAAACAAUGUUGUGAAAACAUCCAAGGCCCUGCCACUGUGAUAGCUAGCUUAGCAGUAUAUGAGAGGAAGAGCACUACAAAGGGCCAGUUGACAUUAGAAGUGUCAGAACAUCAAUUUUGCUUAAAGUAACACUGCUAACAUGUUGAAAGUUUUCAUUUUAACAGACUUUUCGCUAAGCAGGAUAGUUUACUGUGUGUUUGCCAUGGUGGAGUCUGGUGACAGUAAACAAAAAAUGGAUUUUAGCAUCUUCAUUAGUUUUUGUAUGCAGGAUGAUAGAAUGAGUGCUAUGAUUGUCACAAAGAGAUUUA